rnacentral:rRNA from 1 species
AAUGAACGCUGGCGGCGUGCUUAACACAUGCAAGUCGCACGAGAAAUCCCGACUUCGGUUGGGAGAGUAAAGUGGCGCACGGGUGAGUAACGCGUGGGUAAUCUACCCCUGAAUUUGGGAUAACAUUGCGAAAGCGAUGCUAAUACCGAAUGACAUCCAUAUGCUUUCGGACAAAUGGAUCAAAGGUGGCCGCUCCAUGGAAGCUACUGUUUGGGGAUGAGCCCGCGUACCAUUAGCUAGUUGGCAGGGUAAAGGCCUACCAAGGCGACGAUGGUUAGCUGGUCUGAGAUGAUGAUCAGCCACACUGGAACUGACACACGGUCCAGACUCCUACGGGAGGCAGCAGUGAGGAAUUUUGCGCAAUGGGGGAAACCCUGACGCAGCAACGCCGCGUGAGUGAUGAAGGCCUUCGGGUCGUAAAGCUCUGUCGAGUGGGAAGAACCCGCAUCGGAACAACAAGUCGAUGCGCUGACGGUACCACUGAAGGAAGCACCGGCUAACUCCGUGCCAGCAGCCGCGGUAAUACGGAGGGUGCGAGCGUUAUUCGGAAUUAUUGGGCGUAAAGGGCACGUAGGCGGCCGCGUUAGUCAGCUGUGAAAUCCCGGGGCUUAACCCCGGAAGUGCAGUUGAUACUGCGCG